rnacentral:rRNA from 1 species
GUAAGUAUAAAUACUUUACUUUGAAACUGCGAACGGCUCAUUAUAUCAGUUAUAAUUUGUUUGAUAGUCCCUUACUACUUGGAUAACCGUAGUAAUUCUAGAGCUAAUACAUGCAUCAAUGCCCUUCGGGGUUGUAUUUAUUAGAAAGAGACCAACCCUUCGGGUUUUGUGGUGAAUCAUGAUAAAGUUGCGAAUCGCAUGGCUUUUGCCGGCGAUGGAUCUUGAGUGUACCUUGGCCGAGAGGCCUGGGAAAUCUUGUUAACCUGCAUCGUGAUAGGGAUAGAUUAUUGCAAUUAUUAAUCUUGAACGAGGAAUUCCUAGUAAACGCAGGUCAUCAACCUGCAUUGAUUACGUCCCUGCCCUUUGUACACACCGCCCGUCGCACCUACCGAUUGAAUGGUCCGGUGAAGCCUCGGGAUUGUGAUGAGUUUCCUUGAUUGGAGUUUGUCGCGAGAACUUGUCUAAACCUUAUCAUUUAGAGGAAGGUGAAGUCGUAACAAGGUUUCCGUAGGUGAACCUGCAGAAGGAUC